rnacentral:misc_RNA from 1 species
UUGAAUUUGAAAAUGGGGAGUUGCUUUCGAGCACUCUUCUACUAUUCUUUAUUCCUAACACCUGUGAAUCGUUGCUGAGUUUGCUCAGUGGCACCUUUUUUUUACACAAACACUUUUAAAGUAUAGAACGUAUAAAACAUAAAAACAAAAAUA